GAAACCCAGGACCCCAAACAAAAAACCUCCGCAGCGGUUCAGAUAAGGCGGUCGCCGGCUCGCCGCCACCGUCCCUGCUCUCGCGCCGCACUCCAACCGGCCCCGGGGCCGCUUCGGGCUGGAUCUAGGGUUGCGUGGGGAGGAGUUAUGGAAGCCCCCGCCGCGAUGGACGCGGAGGACGAUGACGCCCGCGGCUUCAAGGCCGUCUUCACCGCCGCCGGCGAGGAGUUGCUCCAGGGGCGCAUGCGGGAGAAGCUGCGGGAGUUCAGGAGGAGCGAGAGCGACCCCGAAGGCCUCCUCCUGCUUCAUUUUGCGCAGCAUUUCUCUGUUGAUGACAGCCCAUGAAUCAGUCUUUCCAAAAACCAUAAGGCAUCAUCUCACAUAAGGAUCUUGAGGGAACCAGGGACAAAAGUCAAUCUUGGAUAUUAGAUAUGGCGGGACGACUUGACGGCGAGAGCGGAAAAAUGUAGAGGCCGGGUGCUUUUCGGGAGUAGUGCUGUAUUGAGGCCCAGUAGUGGCCCUUUUGCGUUUCGGCCUUGUAGGCCUGCAGACCAUUCGGCCUAACCCCUUUGUUUGUAACUUGGAUUCAGUGUUUCUUUUAGGAAAAAGUUCUUCCGGUCUCCAUCAACUAUUGGCAUUAUUGCCAUUGUUCGAUUUACCUCCUUCAACUAGAAAACCGAAUGCGAAUUGGCUUGUAGUCCAAUAGUAGGAUGGUCCAGUGGGACGCUACCCACCAGGGUUCAAAUCCUGGUGCUCGCACCUUUUCCUAGGAUUUACCUGUGUUACACGUUAAGUGGUAAGCGACGUUCCCGUCGACGACGAUGCGCCAGUGGUGACUUCGAGAAUCUUCAGAUCUGCCGGUGCUCAAUCCUUCGGAUGUGCUCAUAGGGGUAGGGUUUGCGUGCGUGUAUUUAUAGGGUGUGAGUGUGCGUGCAUGUUGUGGGCGUCUUCAUUGUACUGUGUGAUUCUAAAAAAAAACUAGAAAACCGAA